UUAUGAAUUAAGACUAGAGGGAGAGAAAGCUCGAGAUAAAUUUAUGCAAAAUUUAUUAUCAAGUGAGUUUUGUCGGCAUAUAAUUAGGAUGAAAGCUUCAUCUUUUAUGAAUUUAUGUCGUUUACUAGUUAUAGAUUGUGGACUUAAGCAUACUAUUCGUGCAAUUGUGGAGGAACAAGUACUUAAGACGCUUUACCUAUUAGGAUACAAUGAGAGAAAUCAAGCCAUAUCUUGGACAUACCGUUCGUCAUUUUCACAAUGUGCUACGAUGUAUAGUACAUAUGGCUGAUAAAUUUUAUUAAUCAGCUAAAUGGAUCACAAAUGCCUCUGGAAAUAGCCAACAUUCUCAUAUUAUUUCCAUUUUUUAAGGUAUAUAUAUAAGUUAUACACGUUUAAUUAAUUCUUUUAACAUAAGUGCAUGUUUAAUUAAUUAGUAAAUAAUUAAUUUUAGGAUUGUCUUGGUGUGAUUUGUGGAACAUAUAUAUGUGUUAAAGUGUCUAAAAAAAAUGCUCAACGGUUUCGCAGGAGAAAAGAUUUCCCCACCCAAAACUUGUUAACAGCUUGUACUUUUGAUUUGAAAUUUUCAUACGUCUUAGCUGGGUAGGAGGGGACCACAUCAGAUUCAAGAAUAAUAAAAGAUGUGUUAAACAGAGUUAAUGAUCCUCUAGUAAUUCUCGAAGGUAAUUUAAAUAUAUUUAACUUCAAUAUAUAAUGUAUACAUUUGAAGAAAAAUGUUAUAAUUUAAUUUAUUCAUUGUUUAUAGGUAAGUUUUACCUUGUGGAUGUUGGGUUCAUGUUGCGAGGUGGACUAAUUACACCAUAUAAAGGAAAACGUUACCAUUUGAGUGAAUACUCUAGGAAUCCACUACACAAUGCUCGUGAGCUAUUUAAUUUAUGAUAUGUUUCUUUGCGUAAUGCGAUUGAACAUGCAUUUGGAGUUCUAAAGAUUUUUCAAUUAUCUAAACCUCCACUGAACCUCAUUAUUAGAGUAAGACUAUGAAUGCCAUUAUAUUUGCUUGUUGCAUUUUGUAUAAUUAUUUACGGAGAGAUGAUCAAACUGAUGAACUUCUUCAAGAAGUUGAUGAAAAACUUCGAAACACUUCUCUAGACGAAUGAAGUACAUGUAACUUUAGGGACAAUACUAAGGAAAUAAGAAAAGGCAAAGCAAUCAGAGAUGCAAUAGCAGCUGAUAUGUGGGUUGAUUACAUUUUGUGUAAUUUAUGACAUUUGUAUAAUUUAUGAUGUUUGUAUGGUGUAUGACAUUUGUAUGAUUUAUGAUAUUUAUGUAACUUAGAUAUUUUAAUUGAAUGUUACAAUUUAGAAUUUAUUUUGUUGUAAUCAUAUUAUAUUUUUUUGCAUAUAAUUAUAUUUGGUGUUUUCAUAUGUGUUUUAGAAAAUAACUAGAAGGAACAGAC
rnacentral:lncRNA from 1 species